UACGUAGGGACCGAGCGUUGUCCGGAUUCAUUGGGCGCAAAGAGCUCGUAGGCGGCUGUUCAAGUCGAACGUGAAAACUCGGAGCUCAACUCCGAGCCUGCGUUCGAUACUGGACGGCUAGAGUCUGGUAGGGGGAUCUGGAAUUCCUGGUGUAGCGGUGAAAUGCGCAGAUAUCAGGAGGAACACCGGUGGCGAAGGCGGAUCUCUGGGCCUUACCUGACGCUCAGGUGCGAAAGCUAGGGGAGCGAACAGG
rnacentral:rRNA from 1 species